UAUGUAGCCAUUUCUCUCCUCAAAUCUCUACUCGUGCAGAAGCUUCCUCUUUUGGUCAAAGAGAAGAGGAAAUCACAACAGCAGCUUUAAAAAAUACUAGACCAUUUUGUCAUGGAGCAACGUUGGCUGUAGGAAAGAGAGAGAGAGAGGAGAGAGGAGAGAGGAGAGAGAAGAGAGAGACUGGCUGUGUCUGGAAUGGGAGGCAAGAAAGCUCGAAUUCGCAGGAGAUUUCCUGCAAGAAAGCCACCCAAAACGGAGACAAAAACCCGAUCCCGAGAUCCCAAAAAAACCAACCCAACCUUCUUUUCUCAUCGAGCUAAUACAACCAAACAAAUCAUUUUAUAUUAUUAUUA